AUCAUUUCCUGGCCUUACAGAUCAAGUGUAGUAUCUGUUCUUAUCAGUUUAAUAUCUGAUACGUCCCCUAUCUGUGGACCAUAUAUUAAAUGGAUUUUUGGGACAGGGAGAUGGAAGAAGAGCUUGCUCUGUCCACUCCACGCAUUGACCUGGUAUUGCAGUACCUCCAGGACCGGUGCACCUCUC
rnacentral:snRNA from 1 species